GACGAACGCUGGCGGCGUGCUUAACACAUGCAAGUCGAACGGAAAGGCCCUGCUUUUGUGGGGUGCUCGAGUGGCGAACGGGUGAGUAACACGUGAGUAACCUGCCCUUGACUUUGGGAUAACUUCAGGAAACUGGGGCUAAUACCGGAUAGGAGCUCCUGCUGCAUGGUGGGGGUUGGAAAGUUUCGGCGGUUGGGGAUGGACUCGCGGCUUAUCAGCUUGUUGGUGGGGUAGUGGCUUACCAAGGCUUUGACGGGUAGCCGGCCUGAGAGGGUGACCGGCCACAUUGGGACUGAGAUACGGCCCAGACUCUUACGGGAGGCAGCAGUGGGGAAUAUUGCACAAUGGGCGGAAGCCUGAUGCAGCAACGCCGCGUGCGGGAUGACGGCCUUCGGGUUGUAAACCGCUUUCGCUUGUGACGAAGCGUGAGUGACGGUAAUGGGUAAAGAAGCACCGGCUAACUACGUG
rnacentral:rRNA from 1 species